CUGAGAUCACGCCGUUGCACUCCAGACUGGGCAACAAGAGCGAAACUCUGUCUCAAAAAAAAAAAAAAAAGAAAAAAAGAAAAUGAAUACAGUAGACAUUCACCAAACUAUAUUGAAUUGAAUGACUGAUAUGGUUUGGCUGUGUCCCCACCCAAAUCUCACCUUGAAUUGUAAUACUUUCCACAUGUUAAGGGUGGGGCAAGGUGGAGAUAAUUGAAUCAUGGGACAGUUUUCCCCAUACUGUUCUUGUGGUAGGCUUAACUCGAAUAAGUCUCAUGAGAUCUUAUGGUUUUAUAAAUGGGAGUUCACCUGGACAAGCUCUCUUGCCUGCUGCCAUGCAAGACACGCCUUUGCUUCUCCUUUGCCUUCUGCCAUGAUUGUGAGGCUUCCCCAGCCAUGUGGAACUAUGAAUCCAUUAAAACUCUUUUUCUUUACACAUUACCCAGUCUUGGGUAUGUUUUUAUUAGCAGUGUAAAAAUGGACUAAUACAAUGACUAAAUAUGAAGGCUAGUUAAGACCUGAUCAGACACUGUGCUUUUAGCUGAAUGAGUCCUCCAGCCAUUGACCAGAUGGUUGAACUUCACUAUCCAUUGUUUCUGAGGUGGUUUUGUGACCCACAUCAGCACUAAUUGAGUUGGUCAGGCCCUUCCUCCAGCCAGGCUGAUUGUGGCAUUCUCUGACAGUUGCUUUACCCCCUCUCACCUUCCCCCAUGAUCUCCUUGCAGCCUGCCCACACUGGCCUUAGGGUGACUUUCUGGAGAGGCAAGCAUCUUCAUGUGAGACCUGCCAAAGGGUGUAUACCUUCUCAAAAGACCCUGCAGUUUCUUCUCCAAUGUGGACAACGCUGAGCAUAUGAUCUUUCGGUGUCUAUCUGCACUUUCUUUGACCUGCUUGUUCACUCACCCUCCACCAGAGGCAAAGAAGCUGCCCCGCAGGCACUGCCUACAGCAUCAGUGAGCCCCCUUGGGCUUCUCCACCCGACUGGACCCAUGGCUGUCAUGCCUUGACUGCCCUUCCUCCCAGGUUUCCAGUUUGCUUGGGGAAAGAGCCUUUCUCCGUAUUUCCUUAUUGCCAGCCUCAUUCCUAAAAGGAUUUGAAAUGUCUGACAAAAGCACAAAUGUGCAGCAAAGGAGGACACCCAGGCAGGGGAAAUAAAGGCAGGAAAUGUGAGGCAAAGCCACGUGAGGCUCUCAUACAAAAGGCUGAUUGAUAUUCACUUGCUAAUUUGAUUCUGCGUUUUCUUGAAAGAAGGAAACAUAAUCAACAAUUCCCUUCACAGUGUCCAUGAGAUAAAAGCAAACGAGUUGUUUGGGAGAAAGUUCUGAAGUGCCAGAUGCAUCUCUGGUGGGAUGCUUAUUCUUUUAAGGAUGUGAGCAACACCCUCAAUCAUGAUGAGUUUUAUGAGCCA
rnacentral:lncRNA from 10 species